rnacentral:rRNA from 1 species
ACUCCCAACUCCGGUUGAUCCUGCCGGACCCCACUGCUAUCGGGGUGGGACUAAGGCAUGCUAGUCUGCGCCCUCCGGCCAUGGGGAGGACGCGGCGGACAGCUCCGUA